rnacentral:rRNA from 1 species
CAAUAGCGUAUAUUUAAGUUGUUGCAGUUAAAAAGCUCGUAGUUGGAUUUCGGAUGGGAUUUGCCGGUCCGUCGUUACGAUGUGCACUGGCCAGUCCUAUCUUGUUGUCGGGGACUAGCUCCUUGGAUUCACUUCCUGGGACUAGGAGCUGACGAGGUUACUUUGAGUAAAUUAGAGUGUUCAAAGCAAGCCUACGCUCUGAAUACAUUAGCAUGGAAUAACACGAUAGGACUCUGGCUUAUCUUGUUGGUCUGUGAGACCAGAGUAAUGAUUAAGAGGGACAGUCGGGGACAUUCGUAUUCCAUUGUCAGAGGUGAAAUUCUUGGAUUUAUGAAAGACGAACUUCUGCGAAAGCAUUUGUCAAGGAUGUUUUCAUUA